AUUGAACGCUGGCGGCAGGCCUAACACAUGCAAGUCGAGCGGCAGCGGGACCUUCGGGUUGCCGGCGAGCGGCGGACGGGUGAGUAAUGCCUAGGAAUCUGCUGGUAGUGGGGGACAACGUUUCGAAAGGAACGCUAAUACCGCAUACGUCCUACGGGAGAAAGCAGGGGACCUUCGGGCCUUCCGCUAUCAGAUGAGGCUAGGUCGGAUUAGCUAGUUGGUGGGGUAAAGGCUCACCAAGGCGACGAUCCGUAACUGGUCUGAGAGGAUGAUCAGUCACACUGGAACUGAGACACGGUCCAGACUCCUACGGGAGGCAGCAGUGGGGAAUAUUGGACAAUGGGCGAAAGCCUGAUCCAGCCAUGCCGCGUGUGUGAAGAAGGUCUUCGGAUUGUAAAGCACUUUAAGUUGGGAGGAAGGGCAGUAAGUUAAUACCUUGCUGUUUUGACGUUACCAACAGAAUAAGCACCGGCUAACUUCGUGCCAGCAGCCGCGGUAACAC
rnacentral:rRNA from 1 species